UACGAAGGGGGCUAGCGUUGCUCGGAAUCACUGGGCGUAAAGGGUGCGUAGGCGGGUUUUUAAGUCAGGGGUGAAAUCCUGGAGCUCAACUCCAGAACUGCCUUUGAUACUGAAGAUCUUGAGUUCGGGAGAGGUGAGUGGAACUGCGAGUGUAGAGGUGAAAUUCGUAGAUAUUCGCAAGAACACCAGUGGCGGAGGCGGCUCACUGGCCCGAUACUGACGCUGAGGCACGAAAGCGUGGGGAGCAAACAGG
rnacentral:rRNA from 1 species